CCUACGGGUGGCAGCAGUGGGGAAUAUUGCGCAAUGGACGAAAGCCUGACGCAGCGACGCAGCGUGAGGGAUGACGGUCUUCGGAUCGUAAACCUCUGUCAGCAAGGAAGUACGGUCACUGUGCUAAUCAGCAGUGAAUUGACGGUACCUGCAAAGGAAGCACCGGCUAACUCCGUGCCAGCAGCCGCGGUAAUACGGAGGGUGCGAGCGUUAAUCGGAAUUACUGGGCGUAAAGCGCUCGUAGGCGGUAGGUCAAGUCAAGGGUGAAAUGCCCGGGCUCAACGUGGGAACUGCCGUUGAAACUGGCAAACUGGAGUGUGUGAGAGGAUAGUGGAAUUCCAGGUGUAGGAGUGAAAUCCGUAGAUAUCUGGAGGAACAUCAGUGGCGAAGGCGACUAUCUGGCACAUAACUGACGCUGAGGAGCGAAAGCGUGGGUAGCAAACAGGAUUAGAUACCCCAGUAGUC
rnacentral:rRNA from 1 species